rnacentral:rRNA from 1 species
UACGUAGGGCGCAAGCGUUAUCCGGAAUUAUUGGGCGUAAAGAGCUCGUAGGCGGUUUGUUGCGUCGGCUGUGAAAUCCCGAGGCUCAACCUCGGGUCUGCAGUCGAUACGAGCAAACUAGAGUGUUGCAGGGGAGACUGGAAUUCCUGGUGUAGCGGUGAAAUGCGCAGAUAUCAGGAGGAACACCGGUGGCGAAGGCGGGUCUCUGGGCAACAACUGACGCUGGAGGAGCGAAAGCGUGGGGAGCGAACAGG